rnacentral:rRNA from 1 species
CCUGGUUGAUCUUGCCAGUAGUCAUAUGCUUGUCUCACAGAUUAAGCCAUGCAAGUGAAAGUACAUAUGUAAAUAAUAUAUUGAAACUGCGAACGGCUCAUUAAAACAGUUAUAAUCUACUUGAUGUUUUUAAUAUAAGGAUAACUACGGAAAAUCUGUAGCUAAUACUUGUGAAAAUACCUUUUGAUAUAUACAUAUGUAUGUAUCAUUAAGGUAUGUAUUUGUUAGAUAUAAGAAUAAAAUAAAUAUAAUUGAAUUAUAACAAAGAAGAAACACAUAAAAUAUGUGUAUUAUCAAUCGAGUAUCUGACCUAUCAGCUUUUGAUGUUAGGGUAUUGACCUAACAUGGCUAUGACGGGUAACGGGGAAUUAGAGUUCGAUUCCGGAGAGGGAGCCUGAGAAAUAGCUACCACAUCUAAGGAAGGCAGCAGGCGCGUAAAUUACCCAAUUCUAAAAAAGAGAGGUAGUGACAAGAAAUAACAAUACAAUAUCGAAAAAUGAUUUUGUAAUUGGAAUGAUAGGAAUUUACAAGGUUCCUAGAGAAACAAUUGGAGGGCAAGUCUGGUGCCAGCAGCCGCGGUAAUUCCAGCUCCAAUAGCAUAUAUUAAAAUUGUUGCAGUUAAAACGUUCGUAGUUGAAUAUUAAAGAAUCCGAUGUUUCAUUUAAACUGGUUUGGGAAAACCAAAUAUAUUAUAUAUUUUGCUUUGUUCAAAAUAAGGUUUUCUAAUAAAUUAUGUUUUUAUCAGAUAUGACAGAAUCUUUUUUAAAAUCUCUUCAAUAUGCUUUUAUUGCUUUUGAGAGGUUUUGUUACUUUGAGUAAAAUUAAGUGUUCAUAACAGACGGGUAGUCAUGAUUGAGUUCAUUGUGUUUGAAUACUACAGCAUGGAAUAACAAAUAUGAAUAAGCUAAUUAUUUUUUUUUUUCAUUAUUUUUUUUGAUAUUCUUAUUAGCUUAGUUACGAUUAAUAGGAGUAGCUUUGGGGGCAUUCGUAUUCAGAUGUCAGAGGUGAAAUUCUAAGAUUUUCUGGAGACGGACUACUGCGAAAGCAUUUGCCUAAUCUAUUUCCAUUAAUCAAGAACGAAAGUUAAGGGAGUGAAGACGAUCAGAUACCGUCGUAAUCUUAACCAUAAACUAUACCGACUAGGUGUUGGAUGAAUAUAAAAAAUAUAUAAAUAUGUAGCAUUUCUUAGGGAAUGUUGAUUUUAUAUUAGAAUUGCUUCCUUCAGUACCUUAUGAGAAAUCAAAGUCUUUGGGUUCUGGGGCGAGUAUUCGCGCAAGCGAGAAAGUUAAAAGAAUUGACGGAAGGGCACCACCAGGCGUGGAGCUUGCGGCUUAAUUUGACUCAACACGGGAAAACUCACUAGUUUAAGACAAGAGUAGGAUUGACAGAUUAAUAGCUCUUUCUUGAUUUCUUGGAUGGUGAUGCAUGGCCGUUUUUAGUUCGUGAAUAUGAUUUGUCUGGUUAAUUCCGAUAACGAACGAGAUCUUAACCUGCUAAUUAGCGGAAAGUACACUAUAUUAUUAUUUGAAAUUGAAAAUAGGUAAAUAUACAUAUUAAUUCAGUAAUCAAAUUAGGAUAUUUUUUUUAUUAAAAUAUACUUUUCCCUGUUCUACUAAAAUAAUUUGUUUUUUAAAACUCUAUUUCUCUCUUCUUUUAAGAAUGUACUUGAUUGAUUAAAUAAAGCUUCUUAGAGGAACAGUGUGUAUCUAACACAAGGAAGUUUAAGGCAACAACAGGUCUGUGAUGUCCUUAGAUAAACUAGGCUGCACGCGUGCUACAAUGAUAUAUAUAACAAGUUGUUAAAAAUGUAGCUUAUAAAUAAGUGUGUACAAUUUUUCCUGUACUGAAAAGUAUAGGUAAUCUUUAUCAGUAUAUAUCGUAAUUGGGAUAGAUUAUUGCAAUUAUUAAUCUUGAACGAGGAAUGCCUAGUAAGCAUGAUUCAUUAGAUUGUGCUGACUACGUCCCUGCCCUUUGUACACACCGCCCGUCGCUCCUACCGAUUGAAAGAUAUGAUAAAUUGUUUGGAUAUGAAUUAAAAUAAUGAAAUUUUAUAUUUCUGAUUUUUUCUAGAAGAACUGUAAAUCCUAUCUUUUAAAGGAAGGAGAAGUCGUAACAAGGUUUCCGUAGGUGAACCUGCGGAAG